GUCUCAGUUCGGAUUGCAGGCUGCAACCCGCCUGCAUGAAGCCGGAAUCGCUAGUAAUCGCGGAUCAGAAUGCCGCGGUGAAUACGUUCCCGGGUCUUGUACACACCGCCCGUCACACCAUGGGAGUCGAUAACGCCCGAAGUCAGUGACCCAACCUUAGGGAGGGAGCAGCCGAAGGCAGGUCGGAUGACUGGGGUGAAGUCGUAACAAGGUAAC
rnacentral:rRNA from 1 species